rfam:Cryptococcus dejecticola CBS 10117 unplaced genomic scaffold supercont1.5, whole genome shotgun sequence.
AUCUACGGUCAUAGAAUCCAGAAAACACCGGGUCUCGUCCGCUCCCCGCAGUUUAAGUUGGUUAUCGCUUGGCCAGUACCAAGGUGGGGACCACUUGGGAAUCCUAAGUACUGUAGUUU